AAUUGGCUACUAGGUAAUGUGGUGUUUAGACGAAUUCUUUGAAUGACUGCCCCAUUCUAAGUCCAGCAAUGAGUACGGCAACUGGAACGGCCCAUAGAGGGUGAAAGGCCCGUGUGAGUGGUGGCAGCCGUACCCUGAAUUUGUCUUGGAGUCGGGUUGUUUGUGAAUGCAGCCCAAAGUAGGUGGUAAACUCCAUCUAAGGCUAAAUACUAGCACGAGUCCGAUAGCGAACAAGUACCGUGAGGGAAAGUUGAAAAGUACUUUGAAGAGAGAGUAAACAGUGCGUGAAACCGCUCAAAGGUAAGCGGGUGGAGUUGAACAGGAGGCUUGGAGGAUUCAGCUGAUAAGUAUGGCAUGUACUUGGGCAUUUUGGCCGGCGCCUUGAGUCUACUUAAUUGUAGGUCUCUGCUAUUUUAGUGGGGAUGUAUGGUGCACUUAUCAUGUGUCGUACGCUUAAGGUGUUCGGGCCUGCUUGUCAGUGCACUUUCUCCAGGUAAUCACCACGACCGGCAUUGGUGUCUGUCUGUUAUGGCCAAACCGUUUAGGUUUAGUUAUUUAACUAAGUUUGGAUGGUAUGACAGGUUGUCUGUUGAUCCGCAAGGAUUGAUAGGUGUAAUUAGUUGGUUAUUAUGGAUCAGUGUGCUAUGCCGGGGGCGACGGCUAGUGUUUGCAUGCGUGCUAUGUUCUACAAGCUUAAUUGGAUUUGGUAGACAUGUAACCGGUAUUAACAGGUCUGUUUAUGGUUUGGUUUUGUUUUGUUGGCGGUUGCGUAUGUGACAUGUAUUGGG
rnacentral:rRNA from 1 species